rnacentral:rRNA from 1 species
UACGAAGGUGGCAAGCGUUACUCGGAAUUACUAGGCGUAAAGGGCAGGUAGGUGGUUUGGUAAGUCUGUUGUGAAAGCUCCUGGCUUAACUGGGAGAGGUCAACAGAUACUACCGGACUUGAGUGUGGGAGAGGGUACUGGAAUUCCCGGAGUAGCGGUGAAAUGCGCAGAGAUCGGGAGGAACACCAAUGGCGAAAGCAGGUACCUGGACCAUUACUGACACUCAGCUGCGAAAGCUAGGGGAGCAAAC